CCCUUAGAUGUUCUGGGCCGCACGCGCGCUACACUGAUGCAUUCAACGAGCCUAUCCUUGACCGACAGGUCCGGGUAAUCUUUGAAUCUGCAUCGUGACGGGGAUAGAUUAUUGCAAUUAUUAAUCUUCAACGAGGAAUGCCUAGUAAGCGUGAUUCAUCAAAUCGCGUUGAUUACGUCCCUGCCCUUUGUACACACCGCCCGUCGCUCCUACCGAUUGAAUGUGUUGGUGAGGAGCUCGGAUUGGCAGCAGUUGGUGGUUCGCCACCGGCUAUUGCUGAGAAGUCCUCCAAACCGCCCCAUUUAGAGGAAGGAGAAGUCGUAACA
rnacentral:rRNA from 1 species